rnacentral:rRNA from 1 species
GAAUUCGCCCUUAGAGUUUGAUCCUGGCUCAGGACGAACGCUGGCGGCGUGCCUAACACAUGCAAGUCGAGCGGAGGUAUAUACGAAGAAGUUUUCGGACGGAAUUGUAUAUACUUUAGCGGCGGACGGGUGAGUAACGCGUGAGCAACCUGCCUUUCACAGGGGGAUAAGGCGGCGAAAGCCGCUCUAAUACCGCAUGAGACCACGGUGAUGAUAUUACAGGGGUCAAAGGAGCAAUCCGGUGAAAGAUGGGCUCGCGUCCGAUUAGGUAGUUGGUGGGGUAAUGGCCCACCAAGCCCGUGAUCGGUAGCCGGCCUGAGAGGGUGAACGGCCACAUUGGAACUGAGACACGGUCCAAACUCCUACGGGAGGCAGCAGUGGGGAAUAUUGGGCAAUGGGGGGAACCCUGACCCAGCAACGCCGCGUGAGGGAAGAAGGUUUUCGGAUUGUAAACCUCUGUUCUUGGGGAAGAGUGAAAGACGGUACCCAAGGAGGAAGCCCCGGCUAACCACGUGCCAGCAGCCGCGGUAAUACGUAGGGGGCGAGCGUUGUCCGGAAUGAUUGGGCGUAAAGGGCGCGUAGGCGGCUUUGCAAGUCAGUAGUGGAAGUCCAUUUUUCAAGGAUGGAAGUGCUACAGAAACUGCGGAGCUUGAGUGCAGGAGAGGUUAUCGGAAUUCCCGGUGUAGCGGUGAAAUGCGUAGAGAUCGGGAGGAACACCAGUGGCGAAGGCGGGUAACUGGACUGCAACUGACGCUGAGGCGCGAAAGUGUGGGGAGCAAACAGGAUUAGAUACCCUGGUAGUCCACACUGUAAACGAUGAAUGCUAGGUGUAGGAGGUAUCGACCCCUUCUGUGCCGCAGUAAACACAGUAAGCAUUCCGCCUGGGGAGUACGGUCGCAAGAUUAAAACUCAAAGGAAUUGACGGGUCCCCGCACAAGCAGCGGAGCGUGUGGUUUAAUUCGAUGCUCCGCGAAGAACCUUACCUGGGUUUGACAUAACAGUGGUAGAGAAGUGAAAACGGAUCGACCCUUCGGGGAGCUGUUACAGGUGUUGCAUGCCUGUCGUCAGCUCGUGUCGUGAGAUGUUCGGUUAAGUCCGCUAACGAGCGCAACCCGCGCUGUGUGUUACAAGUGUCAUACAGUACCGCCGGUAUUAAGUCGGAGGAAGGUGCGGAUGACGUCAAGUCAGCAUGACCUUUAUAUCCAGGGCUACACACACGCUACAAUGGUCAGAACAAUAGGUUGCCAAGCCGCAAGGCGGAGCCAAUCCUCCAAAUCUGGCCUCAGUUCAGAUUGCAGGCUGCAACUCGCCUGCAUGAAGUCGGAGUUGCUAGUAACCGCAGGUCAGCAUACUGCGGUGAAUAAAAGCCCGGGCCUUGCACA